rnacentral:misc_RNA from 1 species
AUCUGACUGUCUAGAUGAAUGCUACAAAGGGAUGUAUAAAGCUUAUGUUUUGAACUGCCAAUUUGUAAAUGCAACCAAGUUACAACACAUUCAAUUUCUUGGAAAUUGUGUCAUCGAACUUUUUCGUGUUGAUCUUUCGGUAGCUUAUCAACAUGCAUUUCUUUUCAUCCGUCAAUUAGCAAUGAUCCUCAGAGAGGCAUUAAACACAAGAACUAAGGAAGCAUUUCGAAAGGUUUAUGAAUGGAAG